GGGUGAUUAGCUCAGCUGGUUAGAGCGCCGCCCUUACAAGGCGGAGGUCGUAAGUUCGACUCUUACAGUACCCACCA
rnacentral:tRNA from 1 species